UACAGAGGUCUCAAGCGUUGUUCGGAUUCAUUGGGCGUAAAGGGUGCGUAGGUGGCGGGGUAAGUCAGGUGUGAAAUCUCGGAGCUCAACUCCGAAACUGCACUUGAUACUGCCUUGCUCGAGUACUGGAGAGGAGAUUGGAAUUUACGGUGUAGCAGUGAAAUGCGUAGAUAUCGGAAGGAACAUCAGUGGCGAAAGCGGCUUCCUGGACCAGUACCGACGUUCAGGCACGAAAGCGUGGGGAGCAAACAGG
rnacentral:rRNA from 1 species